rnacentral:rRNA from 1 species
UACGUAGGGUGCGAGCGUUGUCCGGAAUUAUUGGGCGUAAAGAGCUCGUAGGCGGCUUGUCGCGUCGGAUGUGAAAGCCCGGGGCUUAACCUCGGGUCUGCAUUCGAUACGGGCAGGCUAGAGUUCGGUAGGGGAGAUCGGAAUUCCUGGUGUAGCGGUGAAAUGCGCAGAUAUCAGGAGGAACACCGGUGGCGAAGGCGGAUCUCUGGGCCGAUACUGACGCUGAGGAGCGAAAGCGUGGGGAGCGAACAGG